UACGUAGGUGGCAAGCGUUGUCCGGAUUUAUUGGGCGUAAAGCGCGCGCAGGUGGUGCGGUAAGUCUGCCGUGAAAUCUCCCGGCUCAACUGGGAGGGGGCGGUGGAGACUGCCGGACUGGAGGGACUCAGAGGCCGGUGGAAUUCCCGGUGUAGUGGUGAAAUGCGUAGAGAUCGGGAGGAACACCAGUGGCGAAGGCGGCCGGCUGGGGGUGCCCUGACGCUGAGG
rnacentral:rRNA from 1 species